GGCUAGGUGGCGGAGUGGUUAACGCGGUAGACUCGAAUGGACUUUUCGUCAUCUACUUCCUUCGGGAGCGUCUGUUCGAAUCAGGCCCUAGUCG